rnacentral:lncRNA from 10 species
CUUCCUGCUCGUGCCACCAGGCCCCGGGGCCGCGACGCGUCUCUCCAGCCCGGGAUCCGGGGAGCUGGGCUGUCCCCAGACCGACGGGACAGCGGCAUCUCCUCCACCUGAAAAGGAAAGAGGACCAGUUUGCAGGACUCCGAACUGGGCCCGCGAGAUCUCCACCUGCGCAAAACGAAAGGGCGGAUUCUCCUUGGACUCACGAGGCAACCGCUCCCCGGGGUGAGAACGGGGGACUCAUUCCUCCGGCACUGGGAGAAGACGAUUCUUUAGGAGGAGGACAGGGAAGCGAAUGCUACCCAGAACAGUGCUAGAGAAGCCGUGAGCCAGCUGGCAGGUGAGAACGCCCAGGUGCAGGUGGAUGGCUGCAGGUCAGGCCUACUUUUCCUACACCUGUUGCUGGGGGGCAAUCCCAUACCCACUCUCAGUCCAGAGUGCCUGUCACCACAGGGCAAGUAGGUGAAGGGCUUCUCAGAUCCUCAAAGACUCAGAGGGAUAAAAGGAGGCAGAUGGGUCCUAGAGGCAGCCCAUGGCAAGGGAGAGGUCUGCUUUUUUCUUUUUUUUUGAGACGGAGUUUCACUUUUGUUGCCCAGGCUGGAGUGCAAUGGCCUGACCCUGGCUCACUGCAACCUCCACCUCCCAGGUUCAAGUGAUUCUCCUGCCUCAGCCUCCUGAGUAGCUGGGAUUACAGGUGCCCACCACUAUGCCCAACUAAUUUUUGUGGAGACGGGGUUUCACCAUGUUGGCCAGUCAGGUCAAAUUCCUGACUUGAGGUCAAACUCCUGACCUCAGGUAAUCCACCCAUCUCGGUCUCCCAAAGUGCUGGGAUUACAGGUGUGAACCACCACACCUGGCCGAGGUCUGCUUUUCUGAUCAGACAAAAGUGGGUUCCAACCUUGACUCACUACAUGGCCUGGGCAAUGUGCCAGCAUCUUCCCAACCUCUCCCUGCACCCCCAAAUAAUCUCAUUCAAUCUUCAAAAAGCCCUUUGAGAUAAGUCCUAGGACUGCUGCAUUUACAGGUGAGGAAAUUAGGACCUGAAAGGUAAGACUGGGUUGGCCACAACCAACGCAGGGAGGAGAGCGGGGUGGACCCACGACCCAAGGUGGCGCCUGUCGGUUCUCCAAGCCCUCACUCCUCAUGUACCUGCCAUCCUGCCUCAACUUCGCAAAUUGCUUACGCAUGCUGAGCGUGUGUCCUCGUGUACACCGACAGCAUCAGGCUCCUAGUAUGGAUGCAAUAAGUACUGUGGAAUGAAUGAAUGAAUGAAUGAAUGAAAUGAAUGCACACCUCCCUACCCCCAGGGUGAUGAUAAGGACUGUGCAAGACAGAGUGGCUGCACACAGUAGGCCCUCUCAUGCAUGCAGUCGCUCUUCUAAAACAUCUCUAUGAAGCACCUGUUUUGUUCCAGGCAUUGAGGGAACAUUGGUGCUCAUUGGUUCUCUGUUCCUUGCAGACAGACCUGGGAGCAUUCUCCUUGGAGGUCCCCACCCUUGUGGGCUCUUUUUUUCUUGCUUUCCUUUCAGAGCCACCAAAAUGCCUGGACCUGGGCAGCUAACAGUGGGAUGAAUCUGCUUUAGAGACACCAGACUGCCAGCUAGAGAAUUGAAAUAACCUGAUUCUUAUCUAUUUUUCCAUCCAGAGAGGGCACACCAAGGCUAGGCCUCAUUUUUUUUUUCUUUAAACAUUUUUGUGUUGACAAAUAAUGUUUUAUAAAGGCCUCACUAUCUGCCAAACUGUGUCUCACUUCUCCCCAGCCCUGCCAGGUGUGGGGACACCGAACCCACCCAUAUCUCCUCUAGAAUCCACCGAGCACUGAGAUAGCCACAUCUCUAACCUACACCUUUAACUUACAAGCCACAGUCAAGAGGGCUUUGGAGAAAGGGAACCACAGAGGUAGCACGGACAAGCCUCCACUAUCUGCCCCUGGCGCAGGACGCCCACAACCCCAGACACGGUGCACAACGGUCCCUCAGGAAGCCUUUCCUUGAGUCCUACAUUUAACCACAGAGGCCCAGAGGCCCAGGCGUGGUGGUGACUGCCUGCUCGGCAUGCCCCAACCUUUUUUUUUUUUUGAGACAGAGUCUGUCGCCCAGGCUGGAGUGCAGUGGCAUGAUCUCGGCUCACUGCAUCCUCUGCCUCUGGGAUUUAAGCGAUUCUCCUGCCUCAGCCUCCUGAGUAGCUGGGACUACAGGCGCCCGCCACCAUGCCCGGCUAAUUUCUGUAUUUCUACUAGAGAUGGGGUUUCACCAUGUUGGUCAGGCUGGUCUCGAAUUCCUGACCACAAGUGAUCCACCCACCUCGGCCUCCCGAAGCACUGGAAUUACAGGCGUGAGCCACCAUGCCCUGCUGGCCUCCCGCUCUGAGAUUACCUUUUCACCUCAGAUGAGAAAAAUGAACUCAGUAAAGUGCUUGGGAAAGAAACAUCUCAAUCCAAGCCAAUGGGAAAGCCUGGCAAGGAACCCAAGGAAUGUGGAUCUCCAGGGAGCCCAUGGCUCCAUCUUGUUCAAAAGUGAGAAUUUAAAAAGGAGGAUGAGCUUGAGACCAGCCAGGGCACCAUAGUGAGACCCCAUCUCUACAAAAAAUUUUAAAAUUAGCCAGACAUGGUGGUGCACACUUGUAGUCCCAGCUACUCAGGAGGCUGAGGCAGGAGGAUCACUUGAGGCAGGAGUCUGAGGCUGCAAUGAGCCAAGAUCACACCAGUGCACUUCAGCCUGGACAACAGAGGGAGACCCUGUCU